UCAACUUAAACGUACUUUUCCGUCAGAGGAACAACAUGCGCAGAAUAUGUAGGAUCGUGUGGCCUUUCCCAUUAAGUCCAGUUGAGCUUGUGUUCGGAUUCCUUUCAUCUACCUGAGACUGUACAGCCUUAUCUUAUCUCAGUCUAUUCUUGGACUAUCAGAUAUCCUCACUGCCUUAGCAUCAUCUAAGAUUCUCUUAGGCUCUUAGAAUUAGGUGGCUUAGAUUCAUUUAUUGGUUAUCUUACAAUCAUCUUGGAUCACUUGGAAGAUUUUACAAAUACUCUGUGGGGCAAGAGAUUCAGGAAAAUGCUGAGCUCAAAGACAACCCCCUGGCUCGCGGCUGUCAUGGGUCCACAGAAAUACCCCAAAGGACAAUCCACUUGCAUCUUCCAGGCACAGGAAGAAUGUCUGAGCACCAUACAGGUAAUUAAGACUUUUUAAUGUCAGGAGGAUCUGCUGUGAACACAAGAUAGAACCAGAAAGUCUCCAUGCAAGGACAAUGCAGAGAAUGAAGGAUCUUUUCAUGGUUUCAAAUGGAAGUGGGAAUUGUACAAUAUGAAAACAUAUAAUACUUUAAAAUUUCAAAUCACUCUGUGUUCACCAAAAUGUCUCCUGGCUAUGUCA